UGCGAGGUGGGCAACUUACUUCCUUUUUGGGCUCCACACUUUGAUUACGUCGUCCUUUCUUUGCUCUUGGUUCUUGAGUGACCUUUAGCUGCUCAUUACUGGUGGAGGAGAUACUGGAUUCUGCCUCUUCCUCACCUCGGUCCUCAUUCUUAGAUUUCCAAAAUCUCCCUUCUCGUAGGAAACGCUGAUGCAGCUCCAGCUCAUCACAGGCCUUUUUCCAACCCAUACUGCGCUUCACGUGCAGCCGAUGAAUGUUGACUGUGAUAUCUUGAAUGUUUUCAGAAGGAAUCCAGGCCCUAGGAAAAACACAUAAAGGUAUAGUUAGAAACAUCCCAAAUGGCAGGAAGGGUGGUAAAAGAGGGCUUCAGUGGACCCUGCCUGCCAUAAAGUGCGACCUGUGGCAGUUCUCGUCUGUUAGCUUGGUGCAAAAGCAAUUGUGGGUUCUGCCGUUACUUUUAAUUGCGAAAACCACAAUCACUUAGGCUUCGUCAU
rnacentral:lncRNA from 1 species